GAUGUUCACAGUGAUGACUAAGAUGGUGUUACAAACAAAGAAGGAGCAGAGAGAUAGGCAGACCAACACAAGUGACCCAGUGCGUCUUCAUAAUCCUAAAAAAGGAAAAGGAAAGCAGAAAUGCUGCUAGCAAAUAUAGAAUGAUGUGUGAGCAGCAGGAGCGAGGGAGGCAGGGUAUAAAGCCCUUUCAGCCCCUAUAAGAGUGUGUCUUGGAAAUAUAUUAACUUUCAAUUAUAAUUAAUGUGUGAGAGGAGAGAAUUUUUUGAUAGUUAUUAGAGAAAUACCAUGUGUACGUGCUUGCAUGUGUGUUGUCACAGAAAUAUAUGAAAGACCUUAUAAUAUAUAUCUAUUUUUUUUUAUACCAUAUGUCUAAAACAAAUUAGGUUUGUCAAUAUUUUAUCUAAUGCCUCGUUGACUACUGCCUUUUCACGUUAAAAGGACAGUGUGGUAUCUUCUGUUCCCAAUAUUCUUGUGUAAAUGUCUUAAAUACUUCCUUUAGAACAUAAAUGUUUUUUUUUUUUCAGUGGUUUUAGCUAUAUUUAAAAAAAUUUAGAGAGAAAGAUAAGAAAACUUGAUGUACAGUAGAUAAAGACUUUUCUGAAAUAAGGGCGUUUAGCUCUACUGUCAUAUUUUCAAUCUUUGCUUUAACAUUAAAAUAUUAAUGACAAGACACUGAUGACAUUGUACAAACCCCUUUGUAUUUUUUUUUUUUUAAAGUGAGCUUGACUUUCCAUGGUUAGUUGAGUGUGUGAGUCAAUGCAUCUCAUUUUUAAUACAGAAAGAGUGAUAUACAAAUAUUAUAAAUUAUGAAAUUAAUGUUUAUUAUUGGCGUUGAUGAAACGGACAAUAGUAAUAUAUGAAAUGUAUAAGCUAUUUUAAUGGGAGCAUAUUAUUUUCCUAAUAUUUGGGAUAGAGGAGCAUCCUGUCUGGUUUCUAAUGAAGUUCAAUACUCUGCCCAUAAGGUGAACUUUGUACAACAGUGGCGAUAAAUGCCAUAUUUUGAUAGCGAAUGAUUGCCUAUGCACAACAUUGAUUAUAGUAUUUGUGAUGGCUUUGAAUGAUAUGUAAUAUAAUUGUCAGCUGUAUGUAUUACAGUAUGACCCAUUUUAGGUUGUUCCUUAAAUGUUUUGUAAUUAAUAUUGAUGCACAAUAUUCUACUUUUCAUAAUGCACAAGCCACUUAUACAUCCCUUUUAAAGCAUGUCAAUUUUCUUAUUAUUUCAAGGUUAUUAUUGUGAACUGACCUUAUAAGGUGCAUGGCAGAUCAGCAGACAAGCCAAGCCAGGUUUAUAUUUUGAGUUUACACUUGGGUGUACAGGUCUUUAAAUCCAGCACCCCUCUGUGGAAAAUGUUCAUUGUUUCAUAAUUGCUUUCUUUAAGAAAGUGAUCCAAUCUUAUUUGUUUUCAUUCAUGCCUAUGCCCAUGUCAUCUGCUUGUGGUUACUUAUACAAAUCAGUGUUACAUCACUACUCAUGUCUCUUUCCUCUGUCAUCUCUUGGAUAUCAUCACUUGUAAUCCACCUUGUGUAUCAUGUCUGAAAUGAUUAGCAUAUAUACUGUCUGUCAGCUCAUUGUUACCCUGCAAGUGUUAACUAUUGCACCAGUGUUGACACCACUCCGGUACCUAUGAGACUGUCGUAUCAUUACAAAUGUCGAGUGUCUCAUUUGUCUCACAGUGCAGUUAUAUGCCAGCUGUGUUUCAUUCUACUCUAUACGUUGUUUGUAAUUAACCCAUAGUCUGGAGAGGAAACUAG